rnacentral:rRNA from 1 species
UGGGGAAUAUUGCACAAUGGGCGCAAGCCUGAUGCAGCCAUGCCGCGUGUAUGAAGAAGGCCUUCGGGUUGUAAAGUACUUUCAGCGGGGAGGAAGGGAGUAAAGUUAAUACCUUUGCUCAUUGACGUUACCCGCAGAAGAAGCACCGGCUAACUCCGUGCCAGCAGCCGCGGUAAUACGGGGGGUGCAAGCGUUAAUCGGAAUUACUGGGCGUAAAGCGCACGCAGGCGGUUUGUUAAGUCAGAUGUGAAAUCCUCGGGCUCAACCUGGGAACUGCAUCUGAUACUGGCAAGCUUGAGUCUCGUAGAGGGGGGUAGAAUUCCAGGUGUAGCGGUGAAAUGCGUAGAGAUCUGGAGGAAUACCGGUGGCGAAGGCGGCCCCCUGGACGAAGACUGACGCUCAGGUGCGAAAGCGUGGGGAGCAAACAGG